ACGACCGGCGCACGGGUGAGUAACACGUUUGCAACCUACCUCUAACUGGAGGAUAGGGCGAGAGAAAUUCGGAUUAAUAUUCCAUAAAGUCAAUUUAAGGCAUCUUUUAUUGAUUAAAGCUCCGGCGGUUAGAGAUGGGCAUGCGUGUCAUUAGCUAGUUGGUGAGGUAACGGCUCACCAAGGCCACGAUGACUAGGGGGUCUGAGAGGAUGAUCCCCCACACUGGUACUGAGACACGGACCAGACUCCGAGCGGGAGGCAGCAGUGAGGAAUAUUGGGCAAUGGACGCAAGUCUGACCCAGCCAUGCCGCGUGCAGGAUGACUGCCCUAUGGGUUGUAAACUGCUUUUGUUUGGGAAGAAACCCCCGAUCGUGAUCGGGGCUGACGGUACCAUACGAAUAAGCAUCGGCUAACUCCGUGCCAGCAGCCGCGGUAAUACGGAGGAUGCAAGCGUUAUCCGGAUUCAUUGGGUUUAAAGGGUGCGCAGGCGGAAUAUUAAGUCAGUGGUGAAAUCCUGCAGCUUAACUGUAGAACUGCCAUUGAUACUGAUAUUCUUGAAUAUAGUUGAGGUAGGCGGAAUGUGUAAUGUAGCGGUGAAAUGCUUAGAUAUUACACAGAACACCAAUUGCGAAGGCAGCUCACUAAACUAAUAUUGACGCUGAGGCACGAAAGCGUGGGUAGCAAACAGGAUUAGAUACCCUGGUAGUCCACGCUGUAAACUAUGAUCACUCGCUGUUGGCAAUACAUCGUCAGCGGCUGAGCGAAAGCAUUAAGUGAUCCACCUGGGGAGUACGGUCGCAAGAUUGAAACUCAAAGGAAUUGACGGGGGCCCGCACAAGCGGAGGAACAUGUGGUUUAAUUCGAUGAUACGCGAGGAACCUUACCUGGGCUUAAAUGCAGAGCGACGUCCGCCGAAAGGUGGAUUCCUUCGGGCGAUCUGCAAGGUGCUGCAUGGUUGUCGUCAGCUCGUGCCGUGAGGUGUCGGGUUAAGUCCCAUAACGAGCGCAACCCUUAUCGUUAGUUGCCAGCGGGUAAUGCCGGGGACUCUAACGAAACUGCCCGGUGUAAACCGUGAGGAAGGUGGGGAUGACGUCAAAUCAGCACGGCCCUUAUGUCCAGGGCUACACACGUGUUACAAUGGUCGGUACAGAGGGCAGCUACCACGCGAGUGGAUGCUAAUCUCGAAAACCGGUCUCAGUUCGGAUUGAAGUCUGCAACUCGACUUCAUGAAGCUGGAUUCGCUAGUAAUCGCGCAUCACCCAUGGCGCGGUGAUACGUUCCCGGGCCUGUACACACCGCCCGUCAAGCCAUGAAGCUUGGGGUACCUGAAGUCCGUA
rnacentral:rRNA from 1 species